GACGAACGCUGGGGCGUGCUUAACACAUGCAAGUCGAACGGAAAGGCCCUGCUUUUGUGGGGUGCUCGAGUGGCGAACGGGUGAGUAACACGUGAGUAACCUGCCCUUGACUUUGGGAUAACUUCAGGAAACUGGGGCUAAUACCGGAUAGGAGCUCCUGCUGCAUGGUGGGGGUUGGAAAGUUUCGGCGGUUGGGGAUGGACUCGCGGCUUAUCAGCUUGUUGGUGGGGUAGUGGCUUACCAAGGCUUUGACGGGUAGCCGGCCUGAGAGGGUGACCGGCCACAUUGGGACUGAGAUACGGCCCAGACUCCUACGGGAGGCAGCAGUGGGGAAUAUUGCACAAUGGGCGGAAGCCUGAUGCAGCAACGCCGCGUGCGGGAUGACGGCCUUCGGGUUGUAAACCGCUUUCGCCUGUGACGAAGCGUGAGUGACGGUAAUGGGUAAAGAAGCACCGGCUAACUACGUG
rnacentral:rRNA from 1 species